GCUGUGGCUCAUUGGUAGAGCUCCUGCUUUGCAUUCAGAAAAUGCCAGGUUCAAUCCCUCGCAUCUCCA